rnacentral:rRNA from 1 species
UCACUCAGCUGACGAGGAGGGACAUU